rnacentral:rRNA from 1 species
CCUACGGGUGGCAGCAGUGAGGAAUAUUGGUCAAUGGACGGAAGUCUGAACCAGCAAUGCCGCGUGCAGGAAGACGGCUCUAUGAGUUGUAAACUGCUUUUGUACAAGGGUAAACCUGAAUACGUGUAUUCAGCUGAAAGUACUGUACGAAUACGGAUCGGCUAACUCCGUGCCAGCAGCCGCGGUAAUACGGAGGAUCCAAGCGUUAUCCGGAUUUAUUGGGUUUAAAGGGUGCGUAGGCGGAAUAUCAAGUCAGCGGUAAAAAUUCGGGGCUCAACCCCGUCGUGCCGUUGAAACUGAUGUUCUUGAGUGAGCGAGAUGUAGGCGGAAUGCGUGGUGUAGCGGUGAAAUGCGUAGAUAUCACGCAGAACACCGAUUGCGAAGGCAGCAUACCGGCGCCCAACUGACGCUGAAGCACGAAAGCGUGGGUAUCGAACAGGAUUAGAUACCCUUGUAGUC